GGCCAGUGAUGCAAUCAAAAUAUUUGCUACUCUUGAUGAAGAAAUUCAUCUACUCUUGAUGAAGAAAUUCAUUUGAUGAUUCUUUAACCACCAAGAUCUCUGAGGCC
rnacentral:snoRNA from 2 species